ACCAGUGUGGCAUAGUGGUUUGAGCGUUGGACCAUGACUCUGGAAAGCAGGGUUCAAUUCCCUGCUCAGUCA